AGAACGAACGCUGGCGGCAUGCCUAAUACAUGCAAGUCGAACGAACUCUUCGGAGUUAGUGGCGCACGGGUGCGUAACGCGUGGGAAUCUGCCCCUUGGUUCGGAAUAACAGUUGGAAACGACUGCUAAUACCGGAUGAUGACGAAAGUCCAAAGAUUUAUCGCCAAGGGAUGAGCCCGCGUAGGAUUAGCUAGUUGGUGAGGUAAAGGCUCACCAAGGCUACGAUCCUUAGCUGGUCUGAGAGGAUGAUCAGCCACACUGGGACUGAGACACGGCCCAGACUCCUACGGGAGGCAGCAGUAGGGAAUAUUGGACAAGUGGGGGCAACCCGUGAUCCAGCAAUGCCGCGUGAGUGAUGAAGGCCUUAGGUUGUAAAGCUCUUUACCGAGUAUGAUAAUGAC
rnacentral:rRNA from 1 species